CUCACCGCGCUCUGCAUCCUCCCUCACCGCCAUCCAACCCCCAACCACUCCCACCGCACCACCAUGUCCCGCACCAAGGAGACCGCCCGCGCGAAGCGCACCAUCACGUCGAAGAAGAGCAAGAAGGCGUCGAGCGGGGCGUCCGGCGUGAAGAAGUCGCAUCGCCGCUGGCGCCCGGGCACCUGCGCGAUCCGCGAGAUCCGCAAGUUCCAGAAGAGUACGAGCCUGCUGAUCCAGUGCGCGCCGUUCCAGCGCCUGGUGCGCGAGGUGUCGAGCGCGCAGAAGGAGGGCCUGCGCUUCCAGAGCAGCGCCAUCAUGGCGCUGCAGGAGGCGACGGAGGCGUACAUUGUGUCGCUGAUGGCGGACACGAACCUCGCCUGCAUCCACGCGAAGCGCGUGACGAUCCAGCCGAAGGACAUCCAGCUGGCGCUGCGCCUGCGCGGUGAGCGCCACUAGAGACGAAGCCAACGCGUGCGCUGCGGCACUUUUCUUGGCUGCGCAGACGAGGUGAGAGGCUGCGGUGGGGAGCGGAGGGAGGACGCUGUGUGUGAGCUGCGUCGACGCUCUGCACUCUCCCCCCUUCCCCCUCGCUCACCUGCUGCCCCUCAGCAAGUCAGCGUUGCGUGCGUGUGUGUGCUUGUGUGAGCGGCGCUCUCACGGACUCGCACGGGCUUACCGACACACACUCCAUAGAUGCUCUUCGUUUUCGACUCUCUUUUUCCGGUGCCUCUGUGUCGUUCUCUGAUGAUGCGUCUCGACGCGUGUAAAGCUGUUGAGGUGCGUGCGCGGUUACAUGGCGAAGGGAUGUUUGCUGCGAUGUAGUUUCACUGCGUUUCCUGUUUCUGUGGCAGACGCGCAUGCAGAGGAGAAAGCGAGGUGAGUGCUCCCGGUGGUGGUGGUGUGUUUGUGUGUGUGUGUGUGUCAGUUGUAUGGGUGGUCAUCAGCAGACAUCGCACCCCUCCUACCCCCC
rnacentral:misc_RNA from 1 species